GCUGGGCAUGGUGGCGAAUGCCUGUAAUCCCAGCUACCUGGGAGGCUGAGGCAGGAGAAUUGCCUGAACCCAGGAGAUGGAGGGUGCAGUGAGCCCUGAUUGCGCCACUGCACUCCCGCCUGGGUGACAGAGUAAGACUCCAUCUCAA
ensembl:misc_RNA Metazoa_SRP Metazoan signal recognition particle RNA